AAUAUAAAGGCCAGUGGAGCAGCUCAGUCACAACUUACCACUGCAGAGGAAGGAGCUGUUGCCAGAGUUCUAGAUAAGGAACAACAGUUGGAUGCUACAGCAGAGGCCAGCCAGCAAAGACCAGCCGGAGAGGCUCUCUGUCCAGGGAAGGAGCAACCACCAAACACUGCAGCAAAGGCCUGCCAGUGGAGACUGUCUGGAAAAGCAAACAGCUCGGAGGACACAGAACCAUACAUGAACUUGCUGAAGAUGUAGUCCAGCUCAUUAAUGAGGAUGUUGAACAAAACCAUCCCAAGGAUCAACCCCUGGGACACUCCUCUUAAUACCACCAUGGCAUGACAGAAGGGCAGAAGUGUAGAGUUGGAGCAGGAGCUGAAUGAAUGAAAGAGUUCAUGGAGCAGGAUAUGAGGUGGAGGUCUCCCAUUGGAGAAAGAAGCUGGACUACAUGAAGGAUGAAGAUAUAAAUACAGUUGUGGGAGCACAAGCAGGGAAGGAAGAAGAAGGGAUUUUUCCAGUUCAGUCUGCUGAAGUCAUGGAGGAGACAAUGUAGGAGAUU